rnacentral:rRNA from 1 species
CCUACGGGAGGCAGCAGUAGGGAAUCUUCCACAAUGGGCGCAAGCCUGAUGGAGCAACACCGCGUGAGUGAAGAAGGGUUUCGGCUCGUAAAACUCUGUUGUUAAAGAAGAACGUAUCUAAGAGUAACUGCUUAGGUAGUGACGGUAUUUAACCAGAAAGCCACGGCUAACUACGUGCCAGCAGCCGCGGUAAU